UUUCCGUACUGUAACCUGCGGAGGGAUCAUUACAGAGUUGCAAAACUCCCUAAACCAUCGUGAACGCUACCUAAACCGUUGCUUCGGCGGGCGGCGCCCUCGCGCGCCCCCCUGGGGCCCGCACCGCGGGCGCCCGCCGGAGGUACACCAAASUCUUGAUAUGUUAUGGCCACUCUGAGUCUCCUGUACUGAAUAAGUCAAAACUUUCAACAACGGAUCUCUUGGUUCUGGCAUCGAUGAAGAACGCAGCGAAAUGCGAUAAGUAAUGUGAAUUGCAGAAUUCAGUGAAUCAUCGAAUCUUUGAACGCACAUUGCGCCCGCCAGCAUCCUGGCGGGCAUGCCUGUUCGAGCGUCAUUUCAACCCAUCAAGCCCACGGCUUGUGUUGGGGACCUGCGGCUGCCCGCAGGCCCUGAAAACCAGUGGCGGGCUCGCUAGUCACACCGGGCGUAGUAGCAUACGACCUCGCUCAGGGCGUGCUGCGGGUUCCAGCCGUAAAACGACCUUCAGAACCCAAGGUGACCUCGAUC
rnacentral:rRNA from 1 species